UUUAUUUGGAGUUUCAUACCUAACAGAAAGGCAGCUUUCCCUCAGAUCUCCAAGAAGGAUUCUGUCUAUGCCCGGAGAUGGAGAACAAGAGGGAUUGAGAGUGUACAGAAAAGGAGGAAGGUCGUGCCAAAAGGGGAGGAAGUUUUUUACCCUGUCAAAGCAGGCGGAACAGAGCGGUUGCUGGUGUACAGCAGCUCAGAGCCAGCUUGAACCAGCUGCUCCAGGCUGUCACCUCACUGCUUUAAAUAUGUCAGUGUGCUUCAGGGGGAUUUUCUCAAGAAAAGGAGCCUUUGUGAGC
rnacentral:lncRNA from 1 species